GCCGAGGUGGCGGAAUGGCAGACGCGUCGGUCUCAAAAACCGAUGUCCGAAAGGACGUGGGAGUUCGAAUCUCCCUCUCGGCACCA
rnacentral:tRNA from 1 species